UCAAGGCCUGGGACCAGCCAGUGUGUGCGGCCUGUGGAGGGCUCUAGAGCCCUGGGGGACACAGCUCCAAGCCUGCUCCACGGACCCCUCAGUUCACCGGAUGGCCUAAGGCCGGUUGCAGGUUGGGGGUGCAGUCUACUGCGUGUGCCGACCAAUGGCUAAGCAGGACCACUGAACAUCGCUCUAAUCUUCUGGCUUAGUGGUCUCACAGCAACCGUUGCCUGGUAACAGGUUGCUGGGUAACGGCCUACCGCAACAGCUGCGCGCUAGGGGCUGUGCACUGCCGCACUGUAUUAGUGAUCCCACUUAUUUGUUUGUUUAGAUCAAUGAUUCUCAAAUCUGACUGCAUAUUAAAAUAAACUGGGAAGUUUUUAAAAAACACCAAUGCCACAGACAAAACAAGACAGCCCCAAGAGUUGUUAAUUGUUGAAGCUGGAUAGCAGAGCAUUAUCUUUAAUUAAAAGAGCUUCUAUUGCAUGCUUAUGAUAUGGAAGACACAGAGAAAGAGAAAAUAUAGCCUGAUCAACUUGGAAUAAGCUAUUCACCAUCACUGCAAGGCUGCACAGAUACCAACUGCAAUGACCUGUGAGUGGCCGGGCUUCCCAGAGGAGAGAGCUGGAAGUGGACCCAGAACGACUGGCAGAACCUGAAUGGAGGUAGCAGCAGCUGCAAAGGCUUGGGGAAGGUAUUGUCCACAGUAUCUUUUAGGGAAUACUGGCUUAAGCACACUGGGGGAAAUGGCAGGUAAUUUUAGUUAGAUAGAAUGGGGCCGGACUAAGGAGAUCUUUCUUUAGAGACAUUGGUUAAGACAUCUAAGUACUAGAAACCAAUUGGGCAAUUUUAUAUGUACAACCGUAUAAUGUGGUGGUUAGAGCCCAGAUGACAGAGUCAGACAGCUUGGUGUGAACCCUGAACCUAGUUGUCUAACUAUGGGCAAGUUGUUAAAUUUUCCUGUCCCUCAGUUUUCUUAUAUGUAAAAUGAAGUAAUACAUACAAUUGUUGGAGAAUUAUAUGAUAAUUUAUAUAAAGGGGUUAGAAUGCUAAAGUUUUAGCUUUUCACUUUCUCUUUCAUAACUUUUAAUAUUAGUUGAAUUUUGGGACUUCCCUGGUGGUCCAGGGAC